UGCAGCAUGUUUCUGGUCCUACCCACAA
rnacentral:piRNA from 1 species